AGCAGCCGCGGUAAUUCCAGCUCCAAUAGCGUAUAUUAAAGUUGUUGCAGUUAAAAAGCUCGUAGUUGAAUUUCGGGGUUAGUAGGCUGGUCGUGCCACAGGUAUGCACUGGUCUUACUGACUUCUCCUUUCUGAAGAACUGUAAUGCCAUUAAUUUGGUGUUGCAGGGAAACAGGACUGUUACUUUGAAAAAAUUAGAGUGUUUAAAGCAGGCUAACGCUUGAAUACAUUAGCAUGGAAUAAUGAAAUAGGACGUUCGAUCCUAUUUUGUUGGUUUCUAGGAUUGACGUAAUGAUUAAUAGGGAUAGUUGGGGGCAUUAGUAUUCAAUUGUCAGAGGUGAAAUUCUUGGAUUUAUUGAAGACUAACUACUGCGAAAGCAUUUGCCAAGGAUGUUUUCAUUAAUCAAGAACGAAAGUUAGGGGAUCGAAGACGAUCAGAUACCGUCGUAGUCUUAACCAUAAACUAUGCCGACUAGGGAUCGGAUGAUGUAAUUUUUAAUGACUCAUUCGGCGCCUUAAC
rnacentral:rRNA from 1 species